rnacentral:rRNA from 1 species
UGGCGACCGGCGCACGGGUGAGUAACACGUAUCCAACCUGCCGAUGACUCGGGGAUAGCCUUUCGAAAGAAAGAUUAAUACCCGAUGGCAUAGUUCUUCCGCAUGGUAGAACUAUUAAAGAAUUUCGGUCAUCGAUGGGGAUGCGUUCCAUUAGCUUGUUGGCGGGGUAACGGCCCACCAAGGCAUCGAUGGAUAGGGGUUCUGAGAGGAAGGUCCCCCACAUUGGAACUGAGACACGGUCCAAACUCCUACGGGAGGCAGCAG